UACGUAGGGGGCUAGCGUUGUCCGGAAUCAUUGGGCGUAAAGAGCGUGUAGGCGGCUUUACAGGUCCGUUGUGAAAACUCGAGGCUCAACCUCGAGACGCGGUGAAACCACGUGAGCUAGAGUCCGGAAGAGGAGAGUGGAAUUCCCGUGUGAGAGCGGUGAAAUGCGCAGAUAUCGAGAGACCGAGCCGAGGCGGAAGCUCGCGGCGUAC
rnacentral:rRNA from 1 species